GAUGUUAAGACGGUUGCCACACGCACCCAAGGACA
rnacentral:tRNA from 1 species